UCGUUGUUAGCAGGGACGUCGCUAGGCCUAUUGGCCCCUCCCCCUACUUAUAAAUCAAUAUAUCAGUCAAUAUAUAUUUUUUCCGUCAACCGUUCCAUCGCAUCUUAAACCUCUUACCUGACCGGCACUAGGACCUGGGGGAGGCUGCUGCUGCGGAGGCUGAUGCACAUGCUACUGACUGUUAGACUUUCUUCAGUGAAGAUGGCUGACAAAAAUUAUAAUAUUUUUUAAACUUAAUUAACAACAAAUCAAUACAGGAAGUACAUGUGGGAACACAAGUGUAUAUAUAAAUAAUAUACAAAGGACAAUUGGGCUAGGGGCGGGGCUAGGGGGUACAAUAUCACAUUACAUAAGGACCCUUAAGGGACAUACAUACACUUACAAUUCUAACAGCUUUUAUGUUAGUAGAGUAUUUAAUUAUUUUAAGACACAGUUCAAUUUCUUUUUUGUAAGGUACUAGGAUGGAGGCAAAAGGACUCCUGAAACAACCAGCAAACCAGGCUGUCGUCUUGUGAAACAGUGGAUGUAAAGAAUCUUGCUAAAGUAUUUACUGCUAAUUGAAUGUACCAUUUUGUAAGCUUGUCUUGCUGAGAUUUGCCAUGCAAUGCAUAGAUGAAAUAACGUAACUACUGAAAUAACGUAACUACUGAAAUAAGGUAACUACUGAAAUAAAGUAACUAUUGAAAUAACGUAACUACUGAAAUAACGUAACUACUGAAAUAACGUAACUACUGAAAUAACGUAACUACUGAAAUAACGUAACUACUGAAAUAACGUAACUACUGAAAUAACGUAACUACUGAAAUAACGUAGCUAUUGAAGUAACGUAGCUAUUGAAAUAACGUAACUAUCGAUGGUCUUGCUUAUUGUUCAGUGGAUGAUACAAAUCCCUGUAUGCCUAUGGAUGUGUAGCUAGCUAUCGAGCCGAUCUGUGUGUGGACCCAAACGUUUGGUAUACAUAUUAGUUCAGAACUGAGCUAUGAACCUCAGCUAUCAUGUAUCAACUUCAAAACAGUCUGAAUGACAUUAAUGAAGCCUAUGGAUUGAGUAGAAUAUAAUAUAACUUUGUGGCAAGGAUGCAAGUCGUGGCCAAAAUACUAACUAAUAGACUAGAAACAGGAUUGAACUCGUUAAAGGCUGAUUUGUAAUAGUUUUAUACAGAUAUAAUUUAAACGGUACACUACACUUCCUAUGCAUGUAAAUACCCUAAAAACCAGUUCAUCUCAACAUCUAAUGCCCUUCAUCUGCAUUGAUCUGAUAAACACAGGAUAGCUGGAGUAUUUCAUCAAAUUAGAGACUUAAUGUCAACCAGUAGAGAAUGUAAAAUGCUUUAUUGAAAUAAGCUCAUUAUCCAAGUGUUAUAAAUACAAGUUGGAUUUGUACUUCAUUAUAAAACAGAGGAAGAAAGAGGUGUAAAAACACCAAAGGAAAGAGGUCAAACACAGGAGCAGGGAAGGCAGCAUAUGAUUAAUGAAUCACAGUGCUACAUAAAUAUUCUCAGUUAUAAAUACAUAAUAUAUUAUAAUUGUAAUAUUAUAACUAAGUUCAAUCUGUACUUCAAUGCACAUCUGUUGUGCAGUAUAAAAACAGGAAGAAAGGUGGUAGGAGAGGUGUAAAAUACAGAGAAAUAGGUAAGAACAGAGGCAGACCGCAUAUGAUUAAUGAAUCACAGUGCUACCCAAAUAUUCUCUUAGUUUAUCACAAUUACAUAAUAGUGUCUAGUCGGCCCGAAGGUAAUCUUAAGAGCGGAUGAGGUGGCAAUGACGGAAUUGGGGGUUGGCUUCCUCUCUCACAUCAAAACAUACCUGCAGACGAGAGACAGAUGGAUAGAGAGAGAGUAUGAUUAAGCCUUGUGUUUUUUAUUCU